rnacentral:rRNA from 1 species
CUACGGGAUGCUCCAGUGGGGAAUAUUGCGCAAUGGGGGAAACCCUGACGCAGCAACGCCGCGUGAAGGACGAAGGUUUUCGAAUCGUAAACUUCUUUGAAUGGGGAAGAAAAAAAUGACGGUACCCAAAAAACAAGCCACGGCUAACUACGUGCCAGCAGCCGCGGUAAUACGUAGGUGGCAAGCGUUGUCCGGAUUUACUGGGUGUAAAGGGCGUGUAGGCGGGGAGACAAGACAGAUGUGAAAUACCACGGCUCAACCGUGGGGGUGCAUCUGAAACUGUUUCUCUUGAGUGCUGGAGAGGAAAGCGGAAUUCCUAGUGUAGCGGUGACAUGCGUAGAUAUUAGGAGGAACACCAGUGGCGAAGGCGGCUUUCUGGACAGUAACUGACGCUGAGGCGCGAAAGCGUGGGGAGCAAACAGGAUUAGAUACCCGCGUAGUC